AGUGACUCUUUCUCUCUCUCCUAGUACUAGUACUAGUACUCAAGUAUUAGUUGUGAAGCGAACGAGCACAUAAGUUGCAGCACACAAGUCGCUGAUGCCCUCCUCUGGUUCCUCUGCUCCUUGUCCAGAUCGAUCCUGCCGCCAGCGAUGGAAAGAUGCUGCUCCGCCGCUGCCUGAUCUUCCGCUCUCUCUCUCCCCCCUGGUCCAAAUCCCUAAUUUUUCCCCAAGGAUUCAACCCCAAACUUUCUAAUCCCCUCUCAGAUUUGUCGUGCAGGUUAUGUUCUUGUUGGGGCUGCUCUUCCUCUGCUGCUCCAGAUUGAACUCGCCGGCGCUGAUGACCGCGGUGCCGCUGGGUGGUGCAGGUUAACGCUCAAGUGUGCAGCCAUGGAGCAGAUCGAGCAUAUGUGCAAAGAUAGAUGUUCUUGCUGUGAUUUGCGUGCACGUAUGGAUCACUGGGAUACUUUUGUAUGUGCAUCUGGGCUGGCUUCUUUGUGCUUGUGAAUACUAAAGAAAUGGCAGAAGAAGAAGAGCUCACCUUUCUUCUCUUGCUCCCUCUGUUGGUCCUACUAGUGUUGCUCCUACCUCCAGACCCCAGUCCAGUAGGCUAGCUUCUUGCUCUAGCCUGUCCCCUUCGAUCUCCAAUAUUGCUCAGGUCACCAUCUUCACUUAUUGCUCUUGGAUUCUUGUUGGUUGUAGGUAGAGAGAUGAAGACGGUGGGGAAGACAAGCUGUUGGUUUGGCUAUUUGGAAGAAUGGAGAUGAGUGAGGUCUUGGCAAUGGCUUGCCCUGCUCUCUCCCCUCUUAAUAUCAGAAAUCCAUCUCCCCUGGCUGGUAUGGCAGCCCAUUCCCUUCUCCAUUGUUCUCACAGGUGCUAGCUUCUAAUUGGCUGAAGGUUGAAGCCCAUACAUAGACUAUACUAUUGACCAAUUGACUAUUAAUAUAUUGUGCACGUGAGAGUGGUGGUCAGUGUGUCUCAACUGUGUCCUGUUGUCCUAGUUGACUCAAAGAUAUUUUGUGUUGGUCUAAGUUUGGUGUGGCAUUGCUGUAUAGAUUAGCAUAGUAUGGUCUCCCUAUACUUUUGUCCAAAGAUUUGUAAUACACUUGUACAACUGUACUGUUUGAGGUGUGUGAAUAUAAAUAUAUAUUUGAGUGGUUA